rnacentral:tmRNA from 1 species
GGGGUUGACCGGUUUUGACAGCGUGUAGAAGUGGUCAGUAAGCAUGCAGAGCAACGAUGCCUACGCUCUAUAAUCAGAGACAUCAAAAUUUCAAAUGGCGAAAACAACUACGCUCUCGCUGCUUGAUUGAAGUAUAGUAGAUCAGCUUUAUCCGCGUAACAGUUACGCAGACGAGACAUCGCCCGAGAGUCCUGGACCCGAGACUCCUCGACACGGCGGUGCAGCAAAAUCGGGUAUAGGAAGCCAAACGCUCCGAGAGGCGUCCGAAAACAAAGGAGAUAAGGUGUCGGUUGGGUGUCUUGACCCUGCCGCCGCUCGAAAACCAACUCAAGACUAAGCAUGUAGAAAGCUCAUCAAUUCCACGUUUGGACGGGGGUUCAAAUCCCCCCAACUCCACAA